UACGAAGGGAGCUAGCGUUGUUCGGAAUCACUGGGCGUAAAGCGCACGUAGGCGGAUGUGUCAGUCAGGGGUGAAAUCCCGGGGCUCAACCUCGGAACUGCCUUUGAUACAGCACGUCUUGAGUCCGGAAGAGGUGGGUGGAAUUCCUAGUGUAGAGGUGAAAUUCGUAGAUAUUAGGAAGAACACCGGUGGCGAAGGCGGCCCACUGGUCCGGUACUGACGCUGAGGUGCGAAAGCGUGGGGAG
rnacentral:rRNA from 1 species